UACGAAGGGUGCAAGCGUUACUCGGAAUUACUGGGCGUAAAGCGCACGUAGGCGGACUGUUAAGUCGGGGGUGAAAUCCUGGGGCUCAACCUCAGAAUUGCCUCCGAUACUGGCAGUCUCGAGUGCGGGAGAGGUGAGUGGAAUUCCCAGUGUAGAGGUGAAAUUCGUAGAUAUUGGGAAGAACACCAGUGGCGAAGGCGGCUCACUGGCCCGUAACUGACGCUGAGGUGCGAAAGCGUGGGGAGCAAACAGG
rnacentral:rRNA from 1 species